rnacentral:lncRNA from 1 species
CGCCGUCGAGCUUAUCCGGGAGCCCGGCUAACUGACUCGACCACAGCUAUUUAAGGCCCAGUGAGAGUGCCGCUACCGGUGCCGGCCAAAAUUCCUUUCUCUUAGUAGCCCCCUCCCCUGGCCCUCUUCUUCAGAAGCCCUUAGAAGGCCCCGGAAGCUCAUUCCCCUCCUCUCACCACCCGAAGAGAGCUCAUGGAAGGAGCCCAUUUCUCGGCGAAGCCGCCGGCCACCAUUGCCGCAGCUGCGUGAAAUGCAGACCGUAUCGACGUCUCUCUCCACUCCCCCGGGGUGAGGCUCUCUCCCCUGAGCACACAUGUGUGCGGAGUACUAGGAGAGACGUCCCCUAGCGCCGGUAAGCAUCACCGGAGCCCGCCCGUGACCCUGUUCCUGCGCGUGGGAGGUAGGAGAGGAACCAGACAGGUGAGCCCCGCCUGUCGGUGAGCAAGCCAAGCCCCCGAUUGGGGGAGAACCUGGUGCGUUUUCUUUCUAGUAAAACAUAAAUGGAUUGUAACCUUUCUGUGAAUGUGUUUUAUUUGAUGGAAAGUGUAUUCCGCACCAAGACAUUUUAUUUUAUAACUCAUUUAAAAAUGCAGAUUUGACAAAAUCUUUGUGUGGCUAUAACGUGUCAAAGAAAACUCCAAAUGGAGUGAUACUUUUUCCUACCUCUCUAAAAUAACCUCUAGUUUAUUUGCAAAUUUAUUUCAUAUUUUUUAAACAACUAUUAUGUGUUGUUUUGAAAUUAUUCGUUAAUUUAAUAUUUUCAAGAUACGAUUUUGGAGAGAGGAGACUUACUUCAAGAUUUUUGGGGUGCACACCACCCUCCUCAACUCCAAAGGCAAGCAUCUUGAACCCUAGUUUGUUUGGCUUGUGUAAUGUUUGCUGUGAUGAAAUGGACUUCGUGGUAUUAUUAUGCUUAUAAAAACCCCACACAAGAUCAUGCUUGCAUAAAUACUUGUAAUGAAAAUUCUGUUUGUUACUGAAUACAUGUGAUGCAAAGUUGAGUGGGUACUAACUCAUGCCUCGUAUGCCAUGCUAGUCUGGACAACCUCGGAGGAAGGUGUGUCGUCGAGAGUAUGAGACCAUCGGACCGACAUCUCGUGGGACGAGAGUGGUCAGUGAAGGCAUGUCGGGGCGUGAUGGUGGUAACCCUGAGGUAUACCAUUCAGCAAAAUCAUGUGUUACUAACCCUUGCAGGAAAACUUAAACCUCCUAAGUCAACCAUAGAUCGAAUCUUGUCUGUGUAUCACCUUAGCUUUUGUGCUUCCAUAGGUCUUCCCGAAAGGGAAUAUGGUCUAGUAGGUCGUAACCCUUUUACCAGGUACACACCAAGUAGAGAGGUCGGGAUGAAGGUAUCCAUGGCCCUGGACUAAAUCCAGUCAUCCUGUCAGGGGGCAUGGGUGUUCCGGUCUAGGACCGAGAGGGAAUGGCCCUUCCCUUGUAUCACGCGAUAUAAAUUUGAUCCCAUGCUAGUCGAGGUUGGAGUCUCCCCGUCUUACCGUUUUUCCAUGGCAGCGUAGUCCUGGUGAGUCAGGUCUUCGCGGUGGUAAAAUGGGUGUGUGCUAGUUCUGAUAGUUUACUUCUAAAAUAGCAUUCACGGGAUUAGUCCGAGUGACUAUUGAAACCCGCGGGCUAUGGGUAAAGAGUACACCCUCUGUACAGUCAAAAUUGUUCGAGUAGCUGUGUCCACGGUGAAGGUCGACUGGUUGACUAGUCAAGUGUUGGUCUGAGUGUCUGUCUUUGGAGGUAGUUAACGAAAUCGUGAGACUGAUCAUGAAAUAUGGUGGAUGAUCAUACUAUUAUUUUUACUGUGGACUAACCCCUAUGAUUAUGAUUGUUGGAUAUCCCUAGGACGGUUCUACCUCCUCGAUAUCCAAUAUUUAUUAUUGUCUCAUAUAAGACCUUUAUCUGGUGUCGCUAAGACACCCAUUUGCGGCAUGUUUAUUAUUAAUAUAAGACUUCUAUGGGGUGUUUCUAAGAUGCCCGACUGUGGCAUGUCUAUUAUUAAUAUAAGCCCUUUAUGUGGUGUCGCUUAGACGCGCGAGUGCGCCAUGUUUAUUAUUAAUAUAAGCCCUUUAUGUGGUGUCACUUAGACGCCCGACUGCGGCAUGUUUAUUAUAACUAUAAGCCCUUAAUGUGGUGACGCUUCGACGACCGACUGUGGCUUGUGUUACUUGUCUUUCCGAGGUGUCACCUCAGACGCCCGAUCGACAAGCUUAUAAUUGAUUAUUACCCAUCCUUGCUUGUUUAUACAACAUUGGUGGAAUUGAUUUAUCUGCAUAAAUUCAUCCACGAAUUAAUUCUCAUGGAAGGAUAAGUUUAUUAAGUGAUUUAUGCAUGCAUCUCACCUGCUUUAACUUAUCCUUUUUGUCGAUGUUUGCGAGUACAUUCACAGUACUCACUGGCUUGUCCUUGGCUAUUGUCUUGGCCAGAUUACAUUGGAGAGGAGCACAAUGUCAUCAACCCUGGAGAUCUAGGAGUCGAGGAUGGAAGCCUCGUGAGAUAGGAAAUUUAUCCAGGUUAGUUGUUCCUGUGGGAAUGGAGUCCCAUGGGCACCGGAGAUUCCUCGAGUCGCUUCCGCCGUCAUCCUCAGACUUUUGUCCAAACCANN